ensembl:ncRNA R12G8.4 ncRNA
GAAAAAGCAAAUAAAAAAUUUCGACCACUGUGCGGGCUCGAACCCCGGUCUUCUGAUUGGAAGGGACUUCGUGGAAAAUCCCACUGAGCCAUUCGUACAUUUUUCUGGAAAA